rnacentral:rRNA from 1 species
UGGCGGCCGUAGCGCGGUGGUCCCACCUGACCCCAUGCCGAACUCAGAAGUGAAACGCCGUAGCGCCGAUGGUAGUGU